rnacentral:antisense_RNA from 1 species
ACUCCACUCCCAUGGGAAAUACCCAACAGAAUCAGACAGGAAACCCCAAAGUGCCACUGAAAAGCAAUUGAGAGCCCCACUUUGGUACACCUGAUGGGAGCGGAGAGUUAGAGAGGCAGGAAAUAACCUCCACUCCAGGGUAGAAGUAGACAGGAGAUCGGAUGGAAGGUUUCUGCAUGCUGGGACUAGCUCAGGUCAAAGUCCAGAACUCCAGAAAACAAGGCCUGCCCCCAGCUCAGAGCAGCUACCACAGCACAAAAUGGUGUGGAAUCCAGGAGCCAGGAUGAAGUGUAGGGGUAGACGGUGGUUGGAUAGCUAACUGGCCUUUCCACUGCUCUAGCCUGGAACUGGUUGGGCUGGGGCAGGGGACAUGUUGGUCUGAGUAUAGAUUUUGUCAGAAAACCCAGGCACCACUCCCUUGCCUUUGUGGGGUGAUUCUAAAAUUGGACUGUGGUAAGGGUUGCACAACUCCUCAAGUUUAUUAAAAUCAUUAAAAUGUAAACUUACAACCUGUGGGUUUUAUGGUAUGUAAAUUAUACCUCAAUAAAGCUGUCUAAUAUCUGCA